AUCGCUUCUCGGCCUUUUGGCUGAGAUCAAGUGUAGGAAUCACCAUGUCUGUUUUAGAAAACAUACUUUAACCCAUAACAUGUGCAUUUGGUUACAUAUGUGUACACAUGUAAGCAUAUAACACACUGGGACUCAGUGAGGAGGUGCAGUGCAG
rnacentral:snRNA from 1 species